UUGCCCAUUCCUCCUCUAAAAUAUUCAAAAUGGCGGCUACCAUUCGGCAGGCAGGCUGUAUGGCUGUUUGACGUAUGUUUGACAUAAGUCAAAAACUUGGUUAACAUUUGAUGCUGUGAUAGUGUGAUUAUUUUCAAUUUCCCGUGUUUCAGAAAUACUCCAGUGAUGUACCGGUGUUUAACAUCUCUCAAGACACAUUUUGACUCAUCAUCGUCAUGAAUUUGGUUGUCGAGUAGUAACUUUUUGGGUAUAGGCUACCUUUUCCAGAAUUGCUUCACUUAUUGAUUGCCAUGGGAAAUUUCCUCAAAAUCACUGGAAUGCAUGGAAUAAGUUCUAAACUCCAGUUUCUAAAUUUGCAUGGCAGACUUUAUGACAAGUCAUGUCGUUUCAAGAAAGUCAACAAGGUCCCUUGUUUACUAACCUGUUAGCUGCUACCCUUGAAUCUCCCUUUUUACUUUCUAAAGAGGGCCAUUUUAACUUGAAAGUAAUCCUGCGCUACUAAUCAUGGACCUCAUCCAUUGGUGAAAACCGACGAAGGAAUGCUGUAAUUCAAGACUGAUAAAUUGUGUAGUUAGAUUUAAUUACAAGUGCAUAUCUGGGCUCCCUUCUUUUCUGUGGCCCCGUUUCCCUAACU